rnacentral:tRNA from 1 species
GGGGAUGUAGCUCAGUGGUAGAGCGCAUGCUUUGCAUGUAUGAGGGCCCUGGGUUCAAUCCCCGGCAUCUCCA